CAGCAGCCGCGGGAACACGGAGGGUGCAAGCGUUAAUCGGAAUUACUGGGCGUAAAGCGUGCGUAGGCGGUUCGUUAAGUCUGUUGUGAAAGCCCCGGGCUCAACCUGGGGAUGGCAAUGGAUACUGGCGAGCUAGAGUGUGUCAGAGGAUGGUGGAAUUCCCGGUGUAGCGGUGAAAUGCGUAGAGAUCGGGAGGAACAUCAGUGGCGAAGGCGGCCAUCUGGGACAACACUGACGCUGAGGCACGAAAGCGUGGGGAGCAAACAGGAUUAGAUACCCGCGUAGUCCCUGUCUCUUAUAC
rnacentral:rRNA from 1 species